rnacentral:lncRNA from 1 species
GAGACAUCCACGAAGAGACAGGGGGCAGGGAGGAGGUAUAGGAUAUUCACCAGUCGGAGGGUAGAUCAGGAGGGGAAUAAAAUCUGGAGUGUGAAAAAUAAAUAAAUUAAUUUUUAAAAAAAAAAUUUAAGAGUUGCAUUGUAGAUACAUCAAUUGAGAGUUAGACACUCAUGGUCAGUUGUUCUCUGCAUUUUGACAGUUGUAGGUUUUUUUUUUAAUAGUCACUUUAAUAUGCUGGGAGUGUGAUCACUGAUGUGGGGUGAGAGUCCACUUACCUGUGGGCCUGGUUGGAUAUUUACAAGGCAACUAGAGAGUAUCCUGGUUUUGGAAAGUGGUUUCACAGCAUCACUGUCCUCGAGUACAUAACUAGUUUUAAAGUAGCAGUCACAAAUUCCUUCCUAUUAAGUUAGUCUUAAGUCCAAUUAGAUGGCUGCUGUCACACCCAAAAUAUAAGUGCCACUAUUGCACCAUUGGGUGCUUCUUGCUCAGCUGAUCAUUGAUGUGGCUCACAGAUUUUAUAUAUGUGUAGGAAUACUGGUUCCUUUUCUCCCUUGGCAACUAAUAUAACACCUUCAGAAACUGUGAGAGCUAGUCCUCAGGGAGACUUCCAGGGGAGGUCACAAGAGUGGAAGAGAAGAGAGGGAGGACUGAGAAGUGAGUGUGAUUGGGGUACAUGAUAUGAAAUUCCCAAGGAAUCAUAAAGAUAUUAUGUUGAAAGAAAAACAGAGUUGACAUAAAGAAAUUGUAAGUCAUGAGAUGAUCCCAUGUAGUCAUUUAACAUUUAUAACUUUAUGUUGUAAAACGAUUAGCUCCAUCAAGCUCACAUUUGGAGCAUGCGGUUACAAUGCUCCAGCUAUACUUGCUUAUUGGGCUUCAAGCAUACAACAUGCUUGAUCAAGCAAAGAAGCCAUGCUAUACAUCAGAGCCCAGAAUUUGUUCUUCUGGAGACUGAAACACUG